GUGCCAGCAGCCGCGGUAAUACGAAGGGUGCAAGCGUUACUCGGAAUUACUGGGCGUAAAGCGUGCGUAGGUGGUCGUUUAAGUCCGUUGUGUAAGCCCUGGGCUCAACCUGGGAACCGCAGUGGAUACUGGGCGACUAGAGUGUGGUAGAGGGUAGCGGAAUUCCUGGUGUAGCAGUGAAAUGCGUAGAGAUCAGGAGGAACAUCCAUGGCGAAGGCAGCUACCUGGACCAACACUGACACUGAGGCACGAAAGCGUGGGGAGCAAACAGGAUUAGAUACCCUGGUAGUCCACGCCCUAAACGAUGCGAACUGGAUGUUGGGUGCAAUUUGGCACGCAGUAUCGAAGCUAACGCGUUAAGUUCGCCGCCUGGGGAGUACGGUCGCAAGACUGAAACUCAAAGGAAUUGACGGGGGCCCGCACAAGCGGUGGAGUAUGUGGUUUAAUUCGAUGCAACGCGAAGAACCUUACCUGGCCUUGACAUGUCGAGAACUUUCCAGAGAUGGAUUGGUGCCUUCGGGAACUCUGAGACAGGUGCUGCAUGGCUGUCGUCAGCUCGUGU
rnacentral:rRNA from 1 species